CUUGCUCAUACCGAUAGGUUUUCCUCCUCUCGGUUAUCACAUUGAAACCUUCCUUACGACUAACUUUGUCUCUUGGAAACGUUUCCAGUCCGCAUCCAACUCUUCCCGCUUUUCAGCAGCCCAAAAGCAAGCAGCUCACGUCGCGGGCGCGUUACGUGGCUCUCGGAGGGAGGCUCCGCGCGAGGCCAGAGCGACGUUUCCGGCAACGCGACCCGCACCAGGGGUUUGUGGCCUGUGUGCAGUCUCGGGGGGUACAAAUUCACUUCGCUGAUGUUUGUCACAUCUUGCCUGCUGAAGACUGAAGGAAAAUAUGCGAAAGUCUUCUUCAGCUGGAGACAACCACAGUGCAAUUGCCAUCCAUACCAGCAGGAAAAGGUGACCCAGAAAUAAGCUGUUGCCUCUGGAACAUUCACAGGACAUGACUGAAAUUUUAAUGCUGUCUGCAAAAUGGGUAUGUACCACUGAUUUAUCAUGUGUAAUGACAUUCUGUUUCCACAUAUGCCGUUUAGCUGGCUGACUGUUGUUACACAUCUAGCAAAGGUGUUCUCAUAUAUCCACAACAGCAUAGUCAAAAACACCCCAGAAACUGGAAAAAAAUGAUAAUGAGCUUUUCCAGGGAAGAAAUAAAGGGC
rnacentral:lncRNA from 1 species